GGAACUGGGCCUGAUCCAAAGCCCACUGAGGUUAAUGGGAGUCUUUCUAUUGACUUCACUGGACUUUGGGUCACACCCAAUAUGA
rnacentral:pre_miRNA from 1 species